rnacentral:rRNA from 1 species
GAUGAACGCUGGCGGCGUGCUUAACACAUGCAAGUCGAACGGAAAGGCCCCAGCUUGCUGGGGUACUCGAGUGGCGAACGGGUGAGUAACACGUGGGUGAUCUGCCCUGCACUUUGGGAUAAGCUUGGGAAACUGGGUCUAAUACCGAAUAUGACCACUUCUUGGAUGUUGUGGUGGAAAGCUUUUGCGGUGUGGGGUGAGCCUGCGGCCUAUCAGCUUGUUGGUGGGGUAAUGGCCUACCAAGGCGGCGACGGGUAUCCGGCCUGAGAGGGUGUACGGACACAUUGGGACUGAGAUACGGCCCAGACGCCUACGGGAGGCAGCAGUGGGGAAUAUUGCACAAUGGGCGCAAGCCUGAUGCAGCGACGCCGCGUGGGGGAUGAAGGCCUUCGGGUUGUAAACUCCUUUCGCUAUCGACGAAGCCACUUGUGGUGACGGUAGGUAGAUAAGAAGCACCGGCUAACUACGUGCCAGCCGCCGCGGUAA